GUGAUUGAUCCGUCUGAUACUGUGAUUUGGUCACAGUCUCUCAAGUUUGUUGAGGGAAAAAUAACUUAGAGAUGGAUGAAAUUCAGUUUACAGACAUUUCAUUCAUAUCUAAGUUGAUUCGCUGAACAAUUUUGAGAAACUGUGAGCCAAAUCACAAUACCAUGCAUACAUCACUCAC
rnacentral:pre_miRNA from 1 species